UCACAAGGCACCAGCACAAGUGCCCACCUGCACUGGCAGGGGAAGUGUGUGCUCCUGCAGGAUGUCCAGGGAUUCCUGGGCACAGUGAAUGGUUCAGUGCUGGCUCAUGGCUCUUCAGGACACGCUGCUGCCUCCUCACUCUUUUUGUGGGGUUCAGAAAUUUCGGCACAUGCUGCAAAUAACUUCCUUUGUGUUUGCACAGCAGCUUUUACCACCUGCAGGAGCUGCAACGUGCCCCAGAGCUGGUGCAGAAACAAGUCCUGAGCUGCUGGAGCCUUCCUUGCCAGAGUGAAUACCCAGGGUGAAUGUGUGACACACCUCUGUCUCCAAACACAGCCCUGCUGCUGAAGGAGCUCCUGGAUGGCAUCCCAACACACAGCAGGGGUGAUGGAAUAGCUGAUCUUUAAUGUCCCUUCCAGUCCAAACCCGCCUGGGAUUCUAGAUGUCUCUAAUUGUUGGAUUAAGCUUUUUUCCUGACUCAGAGAUGGGGCAACUGAGAGGUGUUUUAAAAACUUUUAUUCUAUUUUUAGUCUCACGUGAAGGGUGGGACAAUACAGAUGUUAUAAUUCACACUUUUAUAAUUAGAAGCCAACUGUUUCUUCUAUCAAACUUUAAGAAUUCUCUACAAAUUCAUUUCCCACAUCUAGUCAUCCCCCUGUGCACAUAGCCAAGGUGGUAUUUUAUCCUUGCUCUUCCUAAGUGAAGGGAUGGAUACAGGGUGGGCACACCAGGGAAUGUCCCUAAUUCCUGAGGCAGGGGAAAACGGCUCAGGGGGAUGAAAGUCGAUUCCAGCUCAAGGGCUGACCUGAAGGGGCAGAAUAAUUGCCCCUCUCAGCACAGCCCCUGGUCCAGGGAAGUGCCUGUGUGGGGUGGGGAACCAGCUGGGAUCCAUCCCCUUUUCCAGCAGGGAAAGGGAAGAGGUGGCUGGGUGUGAGCAGGGUGCAAACACUGCUGAGUAGAGCCCGAGCUCCUCCCUGCUCUGGGAAGGGACCAUGGCUCUGCUCAGCAGCUCAAACCUCACACACAUCCCUCCCCAAAAGGGAAAUAAUUGCCAUAUUCAUUUGUGGAGGGAAAUAAUUACUUCAUUCAUGACACAAAGUCAAUUUUUGUCCCGAACCAGAGGGAGCCCUGUACUGACAGAGGGAAUUUGAAGGAGAGCAAAAAAAUCAGCCUGGCAUUUGUAUUCCCAAUUAAAGGCGAGAAGGAGCCUGUGGUGAGGUUGUGGGGGCUUUUCUUUUUCACUCUCCCUCUGUUUUUUUGCACAUCAAAUUAGAUAACAGCUAAAAUGUUCUGGCUUCUCCAGCUCAUGCUGGGGGGAGAGGAAAAGUCUCCUUUAACUUUGUUAGCUGUACUGAAAUCAAAAGAUGACUGAGGCAGGAGCUCCUUCCUUCCCUCAUUUCAUGGCAGCUGGGUGAGGAGCGGUGGCCAAACAGGGCAACCUGUUGGUCCUUCAGUGGGGCCAGGAGAGGCACAGGCAAGUGCUUCACACAGCUGAAACUGUUUAUAGGGAUUGAAAGGGAAGGGAUUUUUAAAAAAGCACCUGGAGCCAGUGUGCUGUAGGAGAUGGUGUCGCUGUGGGGUGGGAAAUGGAGUCCUGGGUGAGGAGGACAGGGCAUCCUGCAGUGGGAGCAGGGGGGAAUUAGGAACUGGAGCCUUUGGAAUGGCUGCUGAGCUCUGGGAUGGCUCCAGAUCCUUCAGAACUGAGUGCCCAGCCUCUCGCUGCAGAAGGCAUCCCACGCCCCAUGUGGAUUGUCCCCCAGAGUCACUCCGGUGUCCCCUGCUCCCGAGGGAAGCUGGGGCACUGCUGGCUCCCCUGGGCCAGAGGGAAGGGGAUGUCUGCACAGGCUAGCUGCUAGCUACUGGAUUAUGGGAGAAAAGAGGCAACUGAAGGUGUUUUUUUGUGCAAAUAGAUGUGUUUUUCCCCAUCUGCACCACCAUGGUUGAAGGGGUGAUCUGUGAUAGAAAAUUGUCGAAACGUUGAUGAAUAUUUCAGAAGGAGCCACAUACAUUGUACAGGCCUUUUUUUAAAUCUUUAACCAAAUCUUAAAUCUCUGAGAGGGGUGUUUAGGGGUUUGUUCAGCAGCAGUGGGAGCAGGGAGCCCAAGGGGGUCUGGGCUGCGAUAUCCUUGCAUGAGGCUCAGCACUUCCCUUGGGACGGGGCUGUCCAGCUCAGCCAGCACCACAGGGAAUGUCAUGGAAUGCUGCAAUGGGUUUGGAAUCCUAUAAUGGGUUUAGAAUCCUAUAAUGGCUCAGAAGGGCCCUCACAGACCAUCGACUUCCAACCCAGAUAUCCUUAAGGCCCUCCAUAUGGCGAGCUUUUCCUGCCUCCAAAACCAAGUGCAGAAUGUAAAGAUCUGGCUCCAUCCUCCUCCCUGCAUCCCUCAGAGCAUUCCCAGCCUGUGUUACUCCUGGGCACUGGCUAAAUGCCCUUCCUCAGCCUCACAUGCUUGAGCACAGCCCUCUCAGAACAGGUUUUCAAAGCUGUUUUUUUCUCCUCCACGUUGACUUUUAAGCAUCAGCACCUGGCUCCAGCAGGGAGGUGGUUUGUCCUUGUUGGAGGGAUCUGAACUGGAGGUCUGGGGCCAGGCUGGGAACAGCCAGCCCAAUCCAUGAGCAUUUGCACCACGGGGGAAGCAGGGAGCAGCUCACAGCCUGGUGAGUGGAAAAGUCUUGCUGGCUCGUAGCUAUUUUGAGGUAAGGCAUUAAUUGAGGACCAGGGGGAAAACAAUAAAACCGUCCCCGAAAUAGAAGCUGUCAAAAUGUCGUUGCUAGGAGUGAAGCUGAGCCCAAUUUAUGGUAUUUUCUUCCUGUUGCAGAGCUUCAAAGCAGCUGUAAGGGGGCCUGGAUUUGGGGGUUUCUUUGCUCCCACCAAACCCAAACUUGCCAAAGAUGUCCCCAGUGCCCAGAGCCGGGCACGUGGCAGGGCUGGUGCUUCUCCCUGACAUUUAGAAGGUGCCUUCAGGGCCCCUUGCAUUUGCUGCUCCAAAGAUUUGCUUGUUUAUUUUGGAAAUUAGCAGCCUUCGAGCUUUUUUAUUGAGAAAGCCUCUAAGAAAAAGGGGAUUUUUUCACGUGGAGGGAGGAUUGCCUGCAGGACAAGGUUCGGAGGGGUUUUGCUUCCAAGGUGAGGAGAGAGGGGAGGGGUUUUGAAGGAGCAGUUUUGAUGUUUCAUGUACAAAGGCAGUGUUAGUGCAGUGCUGGGUGCGUGGUUCUGGGAGCAGGAGCUCCUGCUGCAUCAGUCCUGGGGCUGGGACAUGGGGAGGAUCAGCAUCCCAACAGGACUGGCUUCUCCCAGCAGCCCCAAGUGGGAGCAGGGUGGUUUGUGCUUCUCCCACCCCACCUUGCCACUGCAGGAACAGCAUUUCACCUGAAGAAGCAGGAUGAACACUAGUGAGGGCAGCAAAAAGCCUGCUCUGCUUCCUGGCUGGGCAUGUGUGGUGGCCCAUGAGGGCUGCUGGUGUCAGAGCCCCUCCUGCAGAAUCCUUUUGGGUUGUUCCCAUGCCACAACUUCCAAGGACCCCUCAGGAAAAGCAUUCUCUUUCCACCAAUAUUAUCUCACAGCACUUGCCAUCUUUUUUUCUCCCCCAUGCAGAACGCUGCAAACCGAGACCCCCGAGGCGCCCGUGCAGCGCCAAGACAACUCUGGUUCUCGCUGGCAACAACAGCCGUUGUGUUUUGACGAGUUAAUAAACAUCUCCCCCAGGAGCCAGGGAGCUCCAGCA